UUCCGUGUGGUCUAGCGGUUUUAUGACUCUUGGUUCUCAACCAAGCAACCUGGGUUCGACUCCCAGCAUGGAAA
rnacentral:tRNA from 1 species